UUCUAUUAGAAAUCAUUAAUAGUAAAAUCUGCUCAAUGAAAAUUUAAAUAGCCGCAUAUGUGCUAAGGUAGCAUAAUCAUUUGUCUUUUAAUUAAAGACUAGAACAAAAGAUUUAACUUUUAAAUUAAUUUUUUAAAUUUAAUUAUUUAAAUUAUCUUAAAUGUAAAAAGACAUUUAUAUUUUAGAAAGACGAUAAGACCCUAUCGAACUUUUACUUUAGUUUAACUGGGGCAGUUAAUUAAUUAUAAUUUUAAUUUAAAUAAAACUUAAAUAAGACCUAAUACAAUUAAUUUCAUAAUCAAGUUACCGUAGGGAUAACAGCGUAAUAAAAUUUUAAAGAUCUUAUUUUAAAUAAAGAUUGCGACCUCGAUGUUGAUUAAUUACCUAAUUCACGCAAUAGUAAAUUAAGGAAGUCUGUUCGACUUUUAAAAAAUUACA
rnacentral:rRNA from 1 species